GUGGGGAAUAUUGGACAAUGGGCGAAAGCCUGAUCCAGCCAUGCCGCGUGUGUGAAGAAGGUCUUCGGAUUGUAAAGCACUUUAAGUUGGGAGGAAGGGCAGUAAGUUAAUACCUUGCUGUUUUGACGUUACCGACAGAAUAAGCACCGGCUAACUUCGUGCCAGCAGCCGCGGUAAUACGAAGGGUGCAAGCGUUAAUCGGAAUUACUGGGCGUAAAGCGCGCGUAGGUGGUUUUGUAAGUUGGAGGUGAAAUCCCCGGGCUCAACCUGGGAACUGCCUCCAAAACUGCAUGACUAGAGUACGGUAGAGGGUAGUGGAAUUUCCUGUGUAGCGGUGAAAUGCGUAGAUAUAGGAAGGAACACCAGUGGCGAAGGCGACUACCUGGACUGAUACUGACUCUGAGGUGCGAAAGCGUGGGGAGCAAACAGGAUUAGAUACCCUUGUAGUCC
rnacentral:rRNA from 1 species